rnacentral:tRNA from 1 species
AUUUAAAUAGUUUAAAAAAAAUAUUGAAUUGUGGUUUCAAUGAUAUAUCUGUGAUAUUUUAGAUU